rfam:Dendroctonus ponderosae Seq01036132, whole genome shotgun sequence.
CGCAUUGCACAGUGGCAUUAUCGUAACCAAUGAGGUCUAUCCGAGGUGCGAUUAUUGUUAGUUGAAAACUUUAACCCUGUUUAUUAUAGCAAAAAUUCACGUUUGCCAACGACACAACAUCAACAGUUUUCUUCUGCUAUAUUUCUGGUUAGACUUUCUUAUAGUA